rnacentral:rRNA from 1 species
AUGAGUCUUCGCUUAAAAGAGGCUGGGGUUAUGCUCUCCAGUUUCGCCCAAGGAUGGGGCCGCGGCCGAUCAGGUUGUUGGUGAGGUAAUGGCUCACCAAGCCUUUUACCGGUGCGGGCCGUGGGAGCGGGAGCCCGGAGAUGGGCACUUAGACAAGGGCCCAGGCCCUACGGGGCGCAGCAGUCGCGAAAACUUUGCAAUAAGCGAAAGCUUGACAGGGCUAUCCCGAGUGCCAUCCGCUGAGGAAGGCUUUUACCCAGUCUAGAACGCUGGGGGAAUAAGGAGAGGGCAAGUCUGGUGUCAGCCGCCGCGGUAAUACCAGCUCUCCGAGUGGUGUGGAUGUUUAUUGGGCCUAAAGCAUCCGUAGCUGGCCAGGUUAGUCCCCUGUUAAAUCCACCGAAUUAAUCGUUGGAUUGCGGGGGAUACUGCUUGGCUAGGGGACGAGAGAGGCAGACGGUAUUUCCGGGGUAGGGGUGAAAUCCUAUAAUCCCGGGAAGACCACCAGUGGCGAAGGCUGUCUGCUAGAACGCGCCCGACGGUGAGGGAUGAAAGCUGGGGGAGCGAACCGGAUUAGAUACCCGGGUAGUCCCAGCUGUAAACGAUGCAGACAAGGUGUUUGAACGGCCACGUGCCGUUCUAGUGCCGCAGGGAAGCUGUUA